rnacentral:rRNA from 1 species
AUGCACGCUGGCGGCGUGCCUAAUACAUGCAAGUCGAGCGAACAGACGAGGAGCUUGCUCCUCUGACGUUAGCGGCGGACGGGUGAGUAACACGUGGAUAACCUACCUAUAAGACUGGGAUAACUUCGGGAAACCGGAGCUAAUACCGGAUAAUAUAUUGAACCGCAUGGUUCAAUAGUGAAAGACGGUUUUGCUGUCACUUAUAGAUGGAUCCGCGCCGCAUUAGCUAGUUGGUAAGGUAACGGCUUACCAAGGCAACGAUGCGUAGCCGACCCGAGAGGGUGAUCGGCCACACUGGAACUGAGACACGGUCCAGACUCCUACGGGAGGCAGCAGUAGGGAAUCUUCCGCAAUGGGCGAAAGCCUGACGGAGCAACGCCGCGUGAGUGAUGAAGGUCUUCGGAUCGUAAAACUCUGUUAUUAGGGAAGAACAAAUGUGUAAGUAACUAUGCACGUCUUGACGGUACCUAAUCAGAAAGCCACGGCUAACUACGUG